ACGUAGCGGAGGCUACACACUGCAGCUGAGGGGCAGCGGGAGUGCUUGCACUCGCCGGCGACGGCGCACGGGUGCGGAACGCGUAUCGAAUCUGCCUCUAUCUGGGUGGAUACCCCAUGGAAACGUGGAAUAAUACCCCAUAGUAUUACUUUAUCGCAUGAUUUAGUAAUUAAAGAAUUUCGGAUAGAGAUGACGAUGCGUAUCAUUAGCUAGUAGGUAAGGUAACGGCUUACCUAGGCAACGAUGAUUAGGGGUCCUGAGAGGGAGAUCCCCCACACUGGUACUGAGACACGGACCAGACUCCUACGGGAGGCAGCAGUGAGGAAUAUUGGACAAUGGUCGAAAGACUGAUCCAGCCAUGCCGCGUGCAGGAUGACUGCCCUAUGGGUUGUAAACUGCUUUUAUACGGGAAGAAAAACACCUACGUGUAGGUGACUGACGGUACCGUAAGAAUAAGGACCGGCUAACUCCGUGCCAGCAGCCGCGGUAAUACGGAGGGUCCAAGCGUUAUCCGGAAUCAUUGGGGUUUAAAGGGUCCGUAGGCGGGCUAUUAAGUCAGAGGUGAAAGUCUGCAGCUCAACUGUUAAAAUGGGCUUUGAUACUGAUAGUCUUGAAUGUAGG
rnacentral:rRNA from 1 species